UACAGAGGCCCCAAGCGUUAUCCGGAAUCACUGGGCGUAAAGGGUGUGUAGGCGGUUUUGUUAGUCUCUUGUUAAAUCUCCCGACCCAAUCGGGAAAAUGCAAGAGAAACGGCAAAACUCGAGGAUGUGAGAGGUAUAUGGAACUCAUGGAGUAGGGGUGAAAUCCGUUGAUAUCAUGGGGAACACCAAAAGCGAAGGCAAUAUACUGGCGCAUUCCUGACGCUGAAACACGAAAGCGUAGGUAG
rnacentral:rRNA from 1 species